CAGUUUUUAGCUUUCUAUCUCUGCUUCCUCCGCUUGAUUUGGGCAGUGAUUUGGGCAAAUCGUCAUGCCCAAAUCAUUUCUGCGUGUUGCCUCCGGGUUUCUGUUCCUGCGGGUGACUUGGCCAAUUCAUUGACCCAAUCAGUCUCCUGUGAGAUAGUUCAGGUUUCUGCUUUAGCUUGAUCUGGGUAGUGAUUUGGCCAAGUUACUGACCCAAUCACUUUUCUUGUCAUUUUCUGCACUUUUUCUCCAGUUUUCCGAUUUCUUCCUUUUCUACAAAAACAAGAUAAAAACCAUAAAUUAAGCUGAAAAAUGUGUAAAUAAGCAAUAAUAAAUAUAAUAAAAAUGUGGCUAAAUUAUGCUUGAUCAAAUACCCCCACACCUAGCUUUUUGCUUGUCCUCAAGCAACAAAUAACUUAGUCAAUCAAGCUCCUUUUUCUUUUGAGCCUAAGUGUCACUUAAUCAGUCCCCCCUAGACUCCUAGAUUGAAGUAUUACAGUAUGGAGUACAUGCACCAAGGUUGUUUCUCUCUUUUCCUUGUUUCCCCUCACCUACUAUGGUCAAAAGAAAGGUUUUUUAUUCAAUCAUGUUUAUUCUCUUUGUAUAAGCUCAAUGCAACCUCUAAGAGUGACUUGCCCUUCUUUUUAAUCACACUUUUUAUUCAGCAGCAUUUAUUUAUUCUUGCCUGAAAAAGUCACUAACCUUUUUAUGCGAAGGUGCAUAUUGGUGAUAUCCACCCCCGGUUACUCAGUUAGUCACUUGUUCAAGUGGCUACUAGCUCUGUUCAUAGCUUAUUUGACCAUUGGAACAGGUUUGAUUUGUGCUUUUAUGCUGGUCUUUUUCUUUUUCAUUUUAUGACAGUUUGGGCAAAUCAGUUUUUAGGGAGUUACACCUAACUUUUUAUUUGCAUGUAUUUAUAUUUUUAUUUCCCUUGACCAAAGCAAAUUUAGGGAUUCAAUUCAAGGAAAGAACUUCAUAAGUGAAGGUAGCACACUGUAAUUGAUUCAAUUUAGGCUUAAAGGGGUGGAAAACCAAUGGGGUCAUGAGAUAGGAAGCUCUUUUAACCUUGUUAUCUAUGCUGAGUAGAGCAAAAGCUAAGUCAAAAUUCUGUGUGUGUGUGUGCAAAAAGUGAAAAAUGUGUGAAAAAAUUUUGGUGUGUGUUUAUGGGGCAAAAAGAUGCAAAAAGAAACAAAAAGAAAGCAAAAAGAUAAUGUAAACGGAAAAAAAAAAAUAUAACCUAACAGUAAAUACCCCCACACCUAUCCCAAACAUUGUCCUCAAUGGUUAAACAUUUAUAUGAAAAAAAAUUAAUAAAGAGAAGGAAAGGGACUGCCUGAUCUGUGGGCGAUUUGGCCAGUGAUUUGGGCAAAUCACUUGCCAAAUCACUGUCUGUCAUGGUGGUGGGGCAGAAAAUGGUCCACCAGUAGCUGCAGCAUGCUUUCCAUGUGUUGCAUCCUGUCUUCGAUUUUGGUGAGAUGAGCCUCCACCGAAUGGUCUUGAGGUGUCUUUUAUGUCCUCCAAGGUCCACCCAAUUGCUUCUUUGUGCUUCCUCAACACUUCUAGGAGUUUUUCUUCUUCUUGUGGGCUGAGCUGGUUUGUCACACCCAUUCUCUAAUCUGUAGAGAUGGAUAUGACUCGAAAAACUGACAGAGUUUCCCCUAAUAUUAUACAUAUGAAUAUAUAUAACCUGCUAUAAUAGAUUUGCACUAACAAAAUACAUCCAGCAUUUGAAUAUACAAUCUAUACAUAUUCCUCAAAAAUUACAAAAAAAGAAGUUACAAGAGACUUAGGAUUGGCUCGACCUUCACUAGAUUCUGAGUGGACGAAGUGGAAGGAAGGACAAAACUAGGAGAUGUAAACUGCUAAAAGUGGGUCACCCAAAAGGAUCUGUAAUAUUAAAAAUAUAAGGGUGAGUACAAAAUACUCAGUGGCGGAUAAAUAAAUAACAAAGGGGAAAAGAUAAAGUUUAGGUACUUAAUUGUACCAAAUAUUUAGCUAAAAUAAGUCAGCUGAAUAAAUACAAUCUAAUUCAAUCAAUAUAAAUAAACUGUGAAAAAUAGAAUCCGCAUACACUCAUAAUAUGUUCCCUGCAGAUAAUGCUGGCAUCUCAGGUGUGAUAAAAUAAUGACAGCCUGAGAGCAAUGCUGGCAUCUUAGGCUCUAUAAUGACAAAUUUGGCCCAAGAGCUAAGAAAUGUUGGUCAUACACAUGUGCAGAGCUACCCCCAAAGGGUGACCACCUGACAUACACCCCAAAGGCUAUCUGUAUAUCAAGCGUUGUCCCAAAGACAAUAUAAAUAUAUAUCAUGCUGAAAAUAAAUCACCUGUCAUCAAGGUGUUAUCUGUUCGGUGCAUAUACAGAGUGUAAUCGGCUAUUUAUUCAGCUGUGCUUUGAAUUCAAUUUUCAUUUAUUCAAGAAAUAUAAAUUAUCUUUAUCCUUUCCUAACUUAAAUAACCAAAAUACAUAUAUGAAUAUAUAUAUAAGAAAAGAAUUAGUGUUAUAUAUUUAUCCACUCACCAGUACUGGGGGAUAAAACAACCUAGGUCGCAGGAGCACUCCUAUUAACUAUCCCAAAAGCUGGAUCCUCUCCUAGAAUUUAAAAAGAAAAUAAUAUAUCAAAUAAUAAAUUAAAAAAAAUUUUAGGAUAAUAAUAGCAAACGUAAAAAACGAAAUUUUAAAUAUAUUUUUAUAUAUAUUUUAAAAAAAAAAUUAGCAGUAUUUCAGCAUAGUUAGACUUCCCAAAAAUAUCCAAAUCAACAAAAAUACUCAAUAACCUAUAUAUAUUAUUUAGAUCAACCCAAGAAAAUCAUUAAUCCCAAAAAUAAAUAUAGAAUCUCACUAUUUGGAUCUAACUAAAACAUAUCCCCUUUUUAUUCUCAAAUCACCAAAAUCACUAUUUAAAAGGUAGAGAAAAUAAAUUAUAUUGUAAAAAUUUAAAUAAAAGGAAUAAAACUCACCUACCCAAUUUUGGAGCCUCUGGAAGAAUUUGUUGAAUUUCUGAGUUUUUUUUUUGUGGGCCUGGGCCUGGGCUUGAUAUGGUUUACUGUCUGCUGUCUGCUGGUUGAUUUGGGUAGAUCAUCUGGUGCUGUUUCAGGUGAUCUGAGCAGAUCACUGUCUGUCCUGUUUGUCUGCUCUAGUGAUUUGGUCAGUGAUUUGGGCAAAUCACCUGCAACCAGCUAUGAACAGUACUCCAUUUGGUCUGUCUUGGUGCUGCUGAUGUCUGUCUCUUCAAAUCUGCAUAAGUCAGCAUUGAGUGUGUCCUCUAGAUCAAAUUCAAAAAUUUCUUGACUUAAACCAUCAAUUAUAUUAAGGCCAUAAACAGGAGAAAUAUCAUUGGGGAAUUUCAUGGCAUCAUAAAUAUUAAACUUGAUAACUUCCCCUUCAAACUCCAUGGUCAAUGUGCCAUCAUGCACAUCAAUUUUUGUUCUGGUUGUGCUCAAGAAUGGUCUCCCAAGUAGGAUGUCAGAGGUGAUUUUGCCCUUAUCCUCCUCCAUGUCAAUCACAUAAAAAUCUGCUAGGAAGACUAAUUGGUCAACUUGUACCAACACAUCUUCUAGCACUCCUUUGGGAUGGACGACGGAUCGGUCAGCCAAUUGGAUCACAAUGCUGGUGCCCUUGAGUGUGCCUGCAUUCAACAAGUUAAAGAUGGAAAGGGGCAUGACAUUGAUUGAAGCCCCAAGGUCACAUAUGGCUUUCUUUAUCCCAACGUUGCCUAUUUUGUAUGAAACAGCGAACAUUCCUCUAUCCUUGCAUUUGGUUGGAAGUUUUCUUUAAAUGACAGCUGAGACACACUCCCCCACACUUACAUUUUCACGUUCAGUAAGUUUCCUUCGGUUGGUGCAUAGCUCUUUGAGAAACUUGACAUACCUUGAAAUUUGCUUCAUAGCAUCUAAUAGGGAAAUAUUGAUUUCUACCUUGCAGAGUGUCUCAAGUAUUUCUUUAUCCUCUUUCUCCUUUUGGGACUUUGCAAAUCUCUUUGGGAAGGGAGGAGGUACCUUAAAAUUUUCCAUUGGUUGCUGGUCUGCCUUGGUCUGCUUGGAGCUGGACUCUGCCUGGAUUAUUGAUUUGGGCAGAUCGAAUUCUGCCUUGUCUGGCGAUUUGGGCAGAUCACUGCUGGGCAGCUCAGUCUGCCUAGCGAUUGGGUCAGUGAUUUGGGCAUAUCGACAGCCCUGAUCACUUUCUGGCAGAUUCUCCUCCAUGGCCUGUUUCUUUAAUUUCUCAGCCUUGCUGUCUUGCAGCUCUUUUCCACUCCUCAAUGUGAUGGCACUAACAUUUUGUCUUGGAUUUAUCUCAGUUUGGGAUGGUAGCUUCCCUUGUGACUCCCAUUUGCUAAUUGAAAUGGCCAUUUGGCUCACUUGUUGCUCAAGAUUUUGCACAGUAUUUGCUAAGGACUUCACAAUCUCUUCAAGGGGUGUAUUGGACUUUUGAGGUGCAGCUUGGGCUGGAUUCCAUUGCUGAUAGCUUGGAUAUGGAUUGGCCCUUGCAUAACUGAAAUUUGGAUGGUCCCUCCAACCUGGAUUAUAUGUAUCAAGGUAGGGAUCAUGUCUUGGCUGGCUAUUGAAUCCUCCAAAGGAAUGUACUUGCUGGUAAUCCUCAUAAAGUGUAGGACAUUGAUCAGUUGGGUGUCCUACAUAUGUGCAAAUCCCACAUGGUCUGAUUCGCUGAAGUUGUUGAACUUGUUGAGCUUGACCUAUACCAUAAUUUCUCACAAUAGAGGUUAGUUCAGAAAUUUGAGAAGAGAGAAAAGACAUACUUACCGUAGCCAUGCUUGUAAGGUCUUGGCAGUGCGUUCAAUUUAUGGAUCGUAAAGAAUAACUUCUUUACGAUCAGCCCUGGUCAUAAAAGGAAAAUACGUUAGUUAGAUCAAAUCCCUGGCAACGGUGCCAAUUUUUGAUAGCGGUUGUCGAAGCCGUAAAAAAUAAAUCUAUUAUCAACCAACAAAAUAAAUUGCAGAUAGUGGCAAUAGGGUCGAACCACAGGGAUUUGACACCAAAUAUCUUCCUAAUAAUGACUAAGGCAAGUAAAUAGCAAAAAUAAAAAGGGAGUUUUGUUUUGAAGAUGUACUAAAGCUAAUUAAUAAUAGAAAGCAAAUAAUUUAAAGAUGAGUAAAUCAAUAAGAGAAAAGCUUCUAGUUGAAGUAUGGAUAUAUUUCAGAUUGUUUAGAAUUGAUCAUUGAUUCUUUAACACUCCUAUUUAUUUCAAUAAAUUAGUUUAGGAUGUGGAAGACGCUUCUCACAAUCCAAAUUCCUCCUUAGUUCUAGUUUGAUUAGGAAACGUUCGCUAAUCAAACACUAGUUAACAAGUUGCCAAGGAACGUCCUUGUGGCUUUUAGCAUCGAACAACUGUUAACUGUAUUAAGACUUAGAGAAACCUAAUUCUAACCUUGCCAACCGCGUGGUCAAGUUUAGAUUAUGCAACUUGAUUAAAUGUGUGUUUAAAUAAUCUAAGCAAUUACGGACCUAAAUUAUUCAAACAAUUGUUACUCAAGCAAUUAAAAGCAAUAGGCCUAAAUUGAUUCUAAAAGCAAAGCAACAAUUAUAGAAAGAUAAAAUUGCAUAAAUAUUGAAAAUAAAUAGAAGUUUAACAAUGGAGAUUUAAAUCUCCCAAUUCAUCACAAAUCUGAAUUUUCCAACUUCAACUAGAAAGGAAUAAAUUUAGCCACUCAUGGUGGACAAAAAUACAAAAGAAAGAAGAAAAGAAAGGAGACAAGCUUGUUGUGCUUUCUGUAGAAUUUCUGCUGUGGAGAGAAGAUAUGUUUGCUGGAUUGGGCUGUCUCCUUUUAUAGUUGAGGAAUCCCAAUCCAAUUAGGUUUUGGAAUCCUAAAUUGGAUUGGUCCUUGUCUUUGAUCUCUUCUUUAAUUGUGAAUAAAUCUUCUUCUUGAGGAGGUCUAUCUUGAGAGUGACUCUUUGAGAUGCCCUACUUGAAGUGUUUGAGAGGGGUUAGGACUUCUUUAUUUAAAUCUUGAAUUUCUGCACUUUCCCGCCUCUACUGUCAAUUUCUGCUGUCAAUGUGAUUGGGGCGGUGAUUUGGGCAGAUCGCUGCCCCAAUCGCUUUCUGUGGGUCAAUCCAGUUUUUAGCUUUCUGUCUCUGCUUCCUCCGCUUGAUUUGGGAAAAUCGUCAUGCCCAAAUCAUUUCUGCGUGUUGCCUCCGGGUUUCUGUUCCCUCGGGUGACUUGGCCAAUUCAUUGACCCAAUCAGUCUCCUGUGAGAUAGUUCAGGUUUCUGCUUUAGCUUGAUCUGGGCAGUGAUUUGGCCAAGUUACUGACCCAAUCACUUUUCUUGUCAUUUUCUGCACUUUUUCUCCAGUUUUCC
rnacentral:lncRNA from 1 species